rnacentral:rRNA from 1 species
AGCAGUAUCCUGAGUAUGGCGGGACACGAGGAAUCCUGUCAGAAACCGCGGGGACCACCCCGCAAGGCUAAAUACUCCCAAGAGACCGAUAGUGGACCAGUACCGUGAGGGAAAGGUGAAAAGUACCCCGAACAGGGGAGUGAAAAAGAACCUGAAACCGUACGCUUACAACCUGUCGGAGCGGCUUAGUGCCGUGACGGCGUGCCUUUUGCAUAAUGAGCCUACGAGUUACUAAUCACUAGCGAGGUUAAGGGCUAUAAGGUCCGGAGCCGAAGCGAAAGCGAGUCUGAAUAGGGCGCAAAGUUAGUGGUUGUAGACGCGAAACCUUGCGAUCUACCCAUGAGCAGGAUGAAAGUUGGGUAAAACCACCUGGAGGUCCGCACCGGUAAACGUUGAAAAGUUUUCGGAUGACUUGUGGGUAGGGGUGAAAGGCUAAUCAAGCUGGGAAAUAGCUCGUACUCCCCGAAAUGCUUUUAGGAGCAGCGUUGCAAUAGUAUACUGGAGGUAGAGCUACUGAUUGGAUGCGGGGGCUUCACCGCCUACCAAAUCCUGACAAACUCCGAAUGCCAGUAUUAUGUUUUGCAGCAGUGAGCCGCUGGGUGCUAAUGUCCGGCGACAAAAGAGGAACAACUCAGACCAUCAUCUAAGGCCCCGAAGAAUACACUAAGUUGAACUAACGAUGUGCGACUGCAGCGACAGCUAGGAUGUUAGCUUGGAAGCAGCUAUUCAUUUAAAGAGUGCGUAACAGCUCACUAGUCGAGCGGUUGUGCGUGGAUAAUAAACGGGCAUCAAGUGUAUCGCCGAAGCUAUGGACUCUACGGAGUGGUAGGGGAGCAUUCCAUCGACGCCGAAGCCGUGUCGUAAGGCAUGGUGGAGUUUAUGGAAAAGCAAAUGUAGGCAUAAGUAACGAUAAGGCGGGAGAGAAACCCGCCCACCGCAAGACCAAGGUUUCCUGAUCAACGCUAAUCGGAUCAGGGUUAGUCGGGUCCUAAGGGUAAGCCGUUAGGUGAUCUCGAUGGACAAUCGGUUAAUAUUCCGAUACCGAUGCAUACUGCGACGGAGGGACGGAGAAGCGUAAGCUGCGCCAACAUACGGAAUUGUUGGUUAAAGAGCGUAGGUAUAGGACGACGUUAAUAGCGACGUUUUGCUGAAACUCGACAGUACCGAGCGGCUACGGCCAAUCGGAUAGUCAGCCCAAGCAAGCUUCCGAGAAAAACUUCUAAGCUUCAGGUAUGCAUCGCCCGUACCGUAAACCGACACAGGUGGUCGAGGAGAGUAUCCUCAGGUGCUUGAGUGAAUCACGGAUAAGGAACUAGGCAAAUUGACCCCGUAACUUAGGGAUAAGGGGUCCCCACGUGAGUGGGGCGCAGCGAAAAGGUCCAGGCAACUGUUUAACAAAAACAUAGGGCUAUGCUAAUUCGAGAGAAGACGUAUAUGGCCUGACACCUGCCCGGUGCUGGAAGGUUAAGAGGGGAUGUUAGCGCAAGCGAAGCAUUGAAUCGAAGCCCCAGUAAACGGCGGCCGUAACUAUAACGGUCCUAAGGUAGCGAAAUUCCUUGUCGGGUAAGUUCCGACCUGCACGAAUGGUGUAAUGAUCUGGACACUGUCUCGUCCGUGAGCUCAGUGAAAUUGUAGUCCCGGUGAAGAUGCCGGGUACCCGCAACGGGACGAAAAGACCCCGUGAACCUUUACUGCAGCUUAACGCUGAAUUUGGGUGCAUGAUGUGUAGGAUAGGCAGGAGACUGCGAAGCGGUACCGCCAGGUAUCGUGGAGUCGCCGUUGAAAUACUGCCCUUUGUGUAUUUGAAUUCUAACCCUGUUUAGGGGACACCGUUUGGUGGGUAGUUUGACUGGGGUGGUCGCCUCCAAAAGCGUAACGGAGGCUUCCCAAGGUACCCUCAGCACGAAUGGUAACCGUGCGCAGAGUGCAAUGGCACAAGGGUGCUUGACUGCGAGACUCACAAGUCGACCAGGUGCGAAAGCAGGGCAUAGUGAUCCGGUGGUUCUGUGUGGACUGGCCAUCGCUCAAAGGAUAAAAGGUACUCCGGGGAUAACAGGCUGAUCGCCGCCAAGAGCUCAUAUCGACGCGGCGGUUUGGCACCUCGAUGUCGGCUCGUCACAUCCUGGGGCUGGAGAAGGUCCCAAGGG